rnacentral:rRNA from 1 species
UUGAACGCUGGCGGCAGGCCUAACACAUGCAAGUCGCGCGGAUGAAGGGAGCUUGCUCCUGGAUUCAGCGGCGGACGGGUGAGUAAUGCCUAGGAAUCUGCCUGGUAGUGGGGGAUAACGUCCGGAAACGGGCGCUAAUACCGCAUACGUCCUGAGGGAGAAAGUGGGGGAUCUUCGGACCUCACGCUAUCAGAUGAGCCUAGGUCGGAUUAGCUAGUUGGUGGGGUAAAGGCCUACCAAGGCGACGAUCCGUAACUGGUCUGAGAGGAUGAUCAGUCACACUGGAACUGAGACACGGUCCAGACUCCUACGGGAGGCAGCAGUGGGGAAUAUUGGACAAUGGGCGAAAGCCUGAUCCAGCCAUGCCGCGUGUGUGAAGAAGGUCUUCGGAUUGUAAAGCACUUUAAGUUGGGAGGAAGGGCAGUAAGUUAAUACCUUGCUGUUUUGACGUUACCAACAGAAUAAGCACCGGCUAACUUCGU